UCAGAUUGAACGCUGGCGGCAGGCCUAACACAUGCAAGUCGAGCGGUAACAUUUCUAAGCUUGCUUAGAAGAUGACGAGCGGCGGACGGGUGAGUAAUGCUUGGGGAUCUGCCUGAUGGCGGGGGACAACCACUGGAAACGGUGGCUAAUACCGCAUAAUACCUAUGGGUCAAAGUGUGGGACCUUCGGGCCACACGCCAUCAGAUGAACCCAAGUGAGAUUAGCUGGUUGGUAAGGUAACGGCUUACCAAGGCGACGAUCUCUAGCUGGUCUGAGAGGAUGAUCAGCCACACUGGGACUGAGACACGGCCCAGACUCCUACGGGAGGCAGCAGUGGGGAAUAUUGGACAAUGGGGGCAACCCUGAUCCAGCCAUGCCGCGUGUGUGAAGAAGGCCUUCGGGUUGUAAAGCACUUUCAGUGGUGAGGAAGGUGGUGUCGUUAAUAGCGGCAUCAAUUGACGUUAGCCACAGAAGAAGCACCGGCUAACUCCGUGCCAGCAGCCGCGGUAAUACGGAGGGUGCGAGCGUUAAUCGGAAUUACUGGGCGUAAAGCGCACGUAGGCGGUAUGUUAAGCAAGAUGUGAAAGCCCAGAGCUCAACUCUGGAAUAGCAUUUUGAACUGGCAUGCUAGAGUUUUGGAGAGGGUGGUAGAAUUU
rnacentral:rRNA from 1 species